UCAUAUCAUCUGCAUUUCAUUCCUCUCCUACGCACAAACAGCCGAGCAGCCAAGGGAAAGCUAAACCAGAAAAUUCCUCCACCCUCUCUCCUCAAUUCCUUGCUCAAUUUCCUCCAAAUUUCACAUGCAACUCUCAAAUCAUUUGGUGAUCAAGAUCAGCUAGGAAUAGAGCUAACUCACACGGUUUUUCUCCAGCUCAAAGUGACAAAAAAUCUCUGUCUUGGCUCUCUAAGAAAGUAAGUAAUGAUCCACUACUUAAUUCUUGGUUUAUGGAAGCUAAAUUACACUCACGAGCUCUUGAAUUCUCAUGGGCAGCAUUAAAUUGUUAAGAAAUUGGUGAGUGGGCUCUAUGAAAUCCCACAAUGACUUGGAUGAUCUGAUUAGCUAGGAUUGGAUGCUGAUUGUGUUGAUUAAGUGCUAAUUUAGUAGAGUUAAGUGGCAAAAAUGAAAAGGAAAUCAAAUGAGGAGCUGCAUGUGAUGUUGCCGAUUCUGCCCUGCUAAUUUCAUGCAUUUUAGUGUAUUUUAUUGAAUUCCAAUUGACUUGAUUCUGAUGAAAACAUGAAAUAUAGGUUAUGUUUAAAGUUUCCUCAAAAUUUUACGUGAUUUGGGUGAGUGCAUGUUGAGUUUUAGAAUCUGCCAAAACUGGGAAAUGAUUCCCGUCACUACUAGACAGCCAGUUUGUUUCGGCUAUAAUUUAUCGCUCCGAUAUCGGAAUCGAGUGCCGUUUGUGGCACUGGAAACUAGACAUUCCCAGCUUUCAUUUGGUAUAAAAUUCAACCCCUGAUUCCACCCGAGUACCCCGUACCAACCGUUUAAAAAUGACAGUCCUGUUUCUCUGUUUUCCUGGAAUGAAGUUCAGAAGUUACAACUUGAGGCUCGAAUUUGAGCUAGUUAUGUGCUGAAUUUCAGAAUGAUUUCUUCUGUGAAAUUAUAGCUUUAUAAAUGUAUUUUCCAAAGCCACCAACCAUGCUCAAUUCCGAGUUGAAUUGAAUGAUUUAUGAUCAAAAUACGAAACCUGCUCUGUCUUUGAAAACCGUUAAUCUUGGGCAGAAUUAAUGUUAGACUUGGUAUGGACUUGCCAAUUGAGUUUUUGGAGUUAAAACACCUACCAAAUGUACCAUGAAUGUUCCUUAGGCUUUUCCUAUACAAAUGAAUCAUGUUUUGAAGGAUUUUUCCUUGGCCAAAUGGUUGGAAUGGAAAACAAAAAGCUCAAGACAGUUUUGCCUUAGGAUUUUCGAAACUUUGGUUGUUUGGUUGACCACCAUUCCGAAGUUAUUUCUCCAUGAAAUUUAGACAACCCUUAUAUGGUAGUAUUAUACUGCUAAUUAUGGUGUUAUUCCGAGGCCGUUUCAUGGCUCAAAUAAAUUACCAAAGUUCAUGACUUGAGUUUGAAAAACCUAUGUUUCACAAGGAAAUUUUGGUAACUUCGAGUUGCCAUAUCUUAGUACUCAAAACUCCGUUUCUCAUUCCGCUUGUUUUGCUGUAAAUUUGGAUUGCGACUCUAAAAGAGUUCCAAAUUUCAAAAGCUAGUUCCAAUCAAGUGAAUUUUGCCGAAUUUUCAAAGUUGGCCAAAAACCAACCUAAAUCUGCCUUAGGAACCAAAACAGAGACUUUGAGCUUGUUUUUGAAUGUUUUUCAUUUGGAAUCUUAGAAAAGUGUAUUCUAGGAACUUUUAGUACCUUGGAAGAGGUUUCCAACGGUACCAAGUUUUCCAAUUUUUGACUUGUAAAACGUGAGAUACGAUUUUCCUAAUGUAUCAUAUCAAAACUGAAAUUUUCCGAAUUUCAAGGAAAUGGAGUUUUCAAGUACUCCUUAUUCCUUCGAUAUUACCUGAAUGAUUUACACUCGAUUUCCAAGAUGAAACUAAAUUUCUCUUGUAUUUUGAAACCCCACUAGAGAGUCUCGAUUUAGGAUAAUUUAGGCUCGUUUCACUAGACUUUCUAAGAUUGUACUAUGGUACGAUCUUCUUUAAUAGUAGGGGUUUGUGAAUGAUAGUCCAUUAUUAUUUGCUCAGGCGCACACGAGAACCUUCAAGAGGAUCCUACAGUGAACGCCUAAAGCUCCGAGGGAUAUUUCUUCCUCAUUACUUGUAUUGGUGAGUGCCAAGUGCAUGUUCACUUGCACUUCGCUUGAGAUUUGUUGCCUACAUGAACUCUACUUGAACCUAUUGUUACUUGAACUGUACUUGUUGGGAAAAGCGUGUACUUUACAGCACUUUAUCUCCUUUACCUGGAUCAAUACAUGACCUGCUACAUGAAUUACAUGAAAUUGAUGGAUUUUACAUGUACAUGACCUAAAGUCGAGUGCAGAGAAAUCUCAUCGACUAAAACUUGAUUUGUUUCUGAAAACCUGACUUGUGGGGACGCCUAAAACCCAAUGGUUAUACCUCGUAAUCUCGCAGCCAAUCGUGAGGUCUUGAUCGGGAGAACUUGGUAAAUCUUGGGACCUGAAGCUUGAUCUUUUGAGAUCUUGCUAGGCAUACUGGUAUAGUAUCGCCUUUACAUGCCUGUUGGUUACGGAUCCGAGGGGGUGAAAUGAUGGAUGGAGGGAAGUAAGUGGAGAACUACGGAUUGGAAAUACCAACCCGGUUGACGGAGAGUCAUCGCGGGAAGGUAUACGAAUAACCCUGGCAAUGCAAGUGGAACUUAGCUCCUGAGAGCUACCAUAUCCUUGAAUUGUUUCUGUUUACAUUUCAUUUGAUUUGGCAAUUACUUGUACUUUAUUAUUUGACCUGUUAAUUAGGCUUGUUGUUUGGACUAUGUGAUUGCAUGUGUGUUCUUGGCCUCACGAGCGUUUUGCUCACCCCGUAGAUUUGUUUUCCUUAACAGGAUUUGGCAUGGAAUGGUACUUGGAGGAACUCUUUUGAUAUACUUCUGGCUUAGGGUUUUAAUAUAUUUUGGGUUAGACCUCUUAUUGGUUGUACUUCGGAAACCUACUAUAUGGUUUGAAUAUUUGAUGUACCC
rnacentral:lncRNA from 1 species